GAUGAACGCUGGCGGCGUGCUUAACACAUGCAAGUCGAACGGUGAAGGCGGAGCUUGCUCUGCUGGAUCAGUGGCGAACGGGUGAGUAACACGUGAGCAAUCUGCCCCUGACUCUGGGAUAAGCGCUGGAAACGGCGUCUAAUACUGGAUACGAGCUGCGAAGGCAUCUUCAGCAGCUGGAAAGAACUUCGGUCAGGGAUGAGCUCGCAGCCUAUCAGCUUGUUGGUGAGGUAACGGCUCACCAAGGCGUCGACGGGUAGCCGGCCUGAGAGGGUGACCGGCCACACUGGGACUGAGACACGGCCCAGACUCCUACGGGAGGCAGCAGUGGGGAAUAUUGCACAAUGGGCGAAAGCCUGAUGCAGCAACGCCGCGUGAGGGACGACGGCCUUCGGGUUGUAAACCUCUUUUAGCAGGGAAGAAGCGAAAGUGACGGUACCUGCAGAAAAAGCGCCGGCUAACUACGUG
rnacentral:rRNA from 1 species